rnacentral:rRNA from 1 species
UGGGGAAUCUUCCGCAAUGGACGAAAGUCUGACGGAGCAACGCCGCGUGAGUGAAGAAGGUUUUCGGAUCGUAAAACUCUGUCUUUUGGGGCGAACGUGAGUAUGGUGAACAAUCAUAGUCAGUGACGGUACCAAAGGAGAAAGCCACGGCUAACUACGUGCCAGCAGCCGCGGUAAUACGUAGGUGGCAAGCGUUGUCCGGAAUUAUUGGGCGUAAAGAGCGCGUAGGCGGGAUAGUCAGUCUGUUGUAAAGUGCGGGGCUCAACCCCGUGAUGGCAAUGGAAACAGCUAUUCUUGAGUGCAGGAGAGGAAAGUGGAAUUCCCAGUGUAGCGGUGAAAUGCGUAGAUAUUGGGAGGAACACCAGUGGCGAAGGCGACUUUCUGGACUGUGUCUGACGCUGAGGCGCGAAAGCCAGGGGAGCGAACGGGAUUAGAUACCCCGGUAGUCCUGGCCGUAAACGAUGGGUACUAGGUGUGGGAGGUAUCGACCCCUUCCGUGCCGGAGUUAACGCAAUAAGUACCCCGCCUGGGGAGUACGGUCGCAAGACUGAAACUUAAAUGAAUUGAC